rfam:Pelodiscus sinensis unplaced genomic scaffold scaffold1011, whole genome shotgun sequence.
UGCGAUUCAUUAGAAGUAACGAGUUGACAUAAGGUAAAUCUACAUUGAGGGGGCCUUUCUUUCAGUGUACGGGGAAGCUUCAUUAACCAUCGCUAACAAGGCGUGCAAAUGCUCUGAUUGGGCAGCUUUCUUAUAACGCCAGAGCCUUUGCAGGAUGCCCACCUAAUGAGGGUCACUAAAAGAGAUUGAUAAAAUAUUCAGAUUUUCCGUCACACCAGGAACUUUUUAUUUUAAAGGAGAAAGUUGAGGCAACUGUGUCGUUGUUUACCUUUUG